GAACGCGAAGAACCUUACCCGGGAUUGAAAUUUAGAUGGUGGCAGAUGAGAGUUUGCUUUCCUUCGGGACAUCUAAGUAGGUGCUGCAUGGUUGUCGUCAGCUCGUGCCGUGAGGUGUCGGCUUAAGUGCCAUAACGAGCGCAACCCGCGUCGAUAGUUACUAACAGGUCAUGCUGAGGACUCUAUCGAGACAGCCGUCGUAAGACGCGAGGAAGGGGCGGAUGACGUCAAAUCAGCACGGCCCUUACAUCCGGGGCGACACACGUGUUACAAUGGCAGGGACAAAGGGAAGCGACAUGGUGACAUGAAGCGGAUCUCCAAACCCUGUCCCAGUUCGGAUCGGAGUCUGCAACUCGACUCCGUGAAGCUGGAUUCGCUAGUAAUCGCGCAUCAGCCAUGGCGCGGUGAAUACGUUCCCGGGUCUUGUACACACC
rnacentral:rRNA from 1 species